UCCGUAGGUGGGUAAUUAAGUCAGAGGUGAAAUCCUGCAGCCCAACUGUAGAAUUGCCUUUGAUACUGGUUAUCUUGAAUUAUUGUGAAGUAGUUAGAAUAUGUAGUGUAGCGGUGAAAUGCAUAGAUAUUACAUAGAAUACCAAUUGCGAAGGCAGAUUACUAACAAUAUAUUGACACUGAUGGACGAAAGCGUGGGGAGCGAACAGGAUUAGAUACCCUGGUAGUCC
rnacentral:rRNA from 1 species